rnacentral:sRNA from 15 species
UGUUGGCUCUUUUUUUUUUAGGACUUUGGUUGUUUUAGUUUCAGGUUUGCGGCAGAUUUGGUUUGGUAAUAGAGUGUCAUCAAUCAAGUUAGGUUUAAAGAAAAUUGGUGUGAAAAAGAAAAAGUGAUUUCAAUUGUUUUUACGCCAAUUGUAAUUUUAUUUUAUCUGCAGUUUUAUUUUUUGCUGGUUUGGUGGUAAGGUGUCACAUGCAAUGGCUGUUGCGCUUGAUGUCUACAACUUGUUUGCGUAUUUACUGACAUUGAUUGUUAUGUAAAUAGUUAUUUUGUACGUAUGUAUGUAUGUAUGUAUGUAUGAUAGAUUUGGUGGUAAGGUGUCAGUAAUCAUGAUAAAUUUGGUGGUAAGGUGCCAGUAAUCAAGGACCAGCUUAGAAUUUGUCGACAAAGUUGGGUGAAUCCAUGUAUGACGUGAGGGUCCUUCGCCACAUUUUAAUGCAGAUUUAUUCCAAUGUAAAUGGUUUUUCAAGCGUGUCUCUUGGAAGGGCUGUUACUCCUGAUGUCUACAAAUUGUUUGAGUUUUUCUAUUUUCAGAUUCAUGAUAAAUUUGGUGGUAAGGUGCCAGUAAUCAAGGACCAGCUUAGAAUUUGUCGACAAAGUUGGGUGAAUCCAUGUAUGACGUGAGGGUCCUUCGCCACAUUUUAAUGCAGAUUUAUUCCAAUGUAAAUGGUUUUUCAAGCGUGUCUCUUGGAAGGGCUGUUACUCCUGAUGUCUACAAAUUGUUUGAGUUUUUCUAUUUUCAGAUUCAUGAUAAAUUUGGUGGUAAGGUGCCAGUAAUCAAGGACCAGCUUAGAAUUUGUCGACAAAGUUGGGUGAAUCCAUGUAUGACGUGAGGGUCCUUCGCCACAUUUUAAUGCAGAUUUAUUCCAAUGUAAAUGGUUUUUCAAGCGUGUCUCUUGGAAGGGCUGUUACUCCUGAUGUCUACAAAUUGUUUGCGUUUUUCUAUUUUCAGAUUCAUGAUAAAUUUGGUGGUAAGGUGUUAAUAAUCAAGGACCAGCUUAGGAUUUGUC